AUUGAACGCUGGCGGCAUGCCUUACACAUGCAAGUCGAACGGCAGCACGGGAGCUUGCUCCUGGUGGCGAGUGGCGAACGGGUGAGUAAUACAUCGGAACGUACCCUGAAGUGGGGGAUAACGUAGCGAAAGUUACGCUAAUACCGCAUAUUCUGUGAGCAGGAAAGAGGGGGAUCGCAAGACCUCUUGCUUUAGGAGCGGCCGAUGUCGGAUUAGCUAGUUGGUGAGGUAAAGGCUCACCAAGGCGACGAUCCGUAGCGGGUCUGAGAGGAUGAUCCGCCACACUGGGACUGAGACACGGCCCAGACUCCUACGGGAGGCAGCAGUCGGGAAUUUUGGGCAAUGGGCGAAAGCCUGACCCAGCAACGCCGCGUGAAGGAUGAAGUAUUUCGGUAUGUAAACUUCGAAAGAAUAGGAAGAAUUAAUGACGGUACUAUUUAUAAGGUCCGGCUAACUACGUGCCAGCAGCCGCGGUAAU
rnacentral:rRNA from 1 species